rnacentral:rRNA from 1 species
GAUGAACGCUAGCGGCAGGCCUAACACAUGCAAGUCGAGGGGCAGCACGAUUGAGCUUGCUUAAUUGGUGGCGACCGGCGCACGGGUGCGUAACGCGUAUGCAACCUACCUUAUACUGGGGUAUAGCCCGGAGAAAUUCGGAUUAAUCCCCCAUGGUAUUAUUGAAUGGCAUCAUUUGAUAAUUAAAGGUUACGGUAUAAGAUGGGCAUGCGUCCCAUUAGCUAGAUGGUGAGGUAACGGCUCACCAUGGCGACGAUGGGUAGGGGGCCUGAGAGGGUGGUCCCCCACACUGGUACUGAGACACGGACCAGACUCCUACGGGAGCAGCAGUGAGGAAUAUUGGUCAAUGGGCGCAAGCCUGAACCAGCCAUGCCGCGUGCAGGAAGACGGUCCUCUGGAUUGUAAACUUCUUUUAUCUGGGACGAAAAAGGCUAUUCUUAGUCACUUGACGGUACCAGAUGAAUAAGCACGGCUAACUCCGUGCCAGCAGCCGGUAAU